CACUUCAGGCACCACUAUGUGCCCGAAAAUUGUUGGAGCGGCUUCCAGACACACCGCAAGGUCGUGGGCCCUGUCACCAUUACUGACUGUCUCUCGGCCAAGGCCUUUGAGAAGCUCCACGUGCAGAGGAGCUGUAUGGCACCACGCUUAAUGACUCUCAGCUUUUUGUCUCUGUGCUGCAUGGGGAGUCCAAGAGGCUGGAUAGGGCCCCUAAGAAGUCUGGGGACUAGAUCCCCCUCCUCUGCAUCCCGUUUGAGAAGGAGGACUUCAUGGGACUGGACACAGACAGCAGUAUGUUUUGGUUACUGAGACCCUCGAAUUCCCAUAUGAAUUGUAGCAGCAGCUAGUCAGUUACUGCAGAGGAGCGCGCUGGGAUUGUGAUUGAGACCACGUUGAGUACACGGAUCAUUCUGGGGAGCAUUGCCAUACGAA